GACGAACCGAGCGAACGUUGUUCGGAAUCACUGGGCGUAAAGGGCGCGUAGGCGGCCACUGCAAGUCAGUUGUGAAAUCUCCGGGCUUAACCCGGAAAGGUCAACUGAUACUGCAGGGCUAGAGUGCAGAAGGGGCAACUGGAAUUCUCGGUGUAGCGGUGAAAUGCGUAGAUAUCGAGAGGAACACCUGCGGCGAAGGCGGGUUGCUGGGCUGACACUGACGCUGAGGCGCGAAAGCCAGGGGAGCGAACGGG
rnacentral:rRNA from 1 species